GGGCAGGAUAGCUUAGUGAUUAGGGUGUUUGACUCCCAGCCGAAAGGUUCUGGGUUCGAUCCCCAGUCUGCAAUCUA